ensembl:lncRNA
AAUAAUUAUGAGUGUUCACAUCCCUGCUAGCAGCAGUGGCGGCGGAUCUGCUGGAAUGAAGAAAGACACACUUCGAACAGAGACAAAGCUGAACGUCUAAAGACGGCCAUAAACUGCCAGACAGCCAUAAAUUAACGUCUUCAUCAAACACUGAGGGGAUCAGCGCUUAUCUAAAUCAACAAUUAUUUCUCCCAAGAAGUUGCCGAACAGAUUGCCCCUCUAAUACUAUUUUCAAACCCCUUUAAUUGAGGAUUAGGGGCCAACAAUCGCCUUUCCGGAGUAAACCUCCUCUCCGCCGGCUCCGAACCUCCCCGGGCUCCCGUCCCCGUCCGGGCUGCUUUAGGAAGGGCGGCCGGCGCUCCCUGCUUAUUCUGAAGGGCUCUGGGGAGCGGGGGAGCGCCGAGAACCGGGAGUCGGAUUGCGGGCAGCACGGCACGCACGGCUGCGGUCGGACGGGCUCAGCCCCGGGGCGCGGAGCGGGGACAGCGGGAUGGGCGCACCGCUGCGCGUCCGAAGCGGCUUCCGAAGUCCACGGCGGCUUCGGAAGUCUCUGCCGGGAAGAGUCCCUCUUUGGGAGGCGAGGGAAGACGCGCUCCGCAGCCGGGAGGUUCACUGGCUGGCAGCGUGGGAAUGUGCCUGCGGGAGGCUGGCGGCUGAACUCUUGGGAAGACGUGGGUAAGGGGAAAGACGAGCUGAUGCAGAAGUUCAUCGGCAGAAGUCACCACGGGGCAUUUCCUUACUGUCCCCUUAGUAGCCAGAGCCCAGACUGGCGAUCAACUUUCUUGUGAUAACAAGUGUUGUUUAAAGGAAAAAAAAAAUACAGGCAGUGUAACACAGUAAGGCAAGAGAGCAUCCUGCAGUGCUCAUAGCAGGGACAGACUUCUUCUGACUCUAUUUUGGUGCAAAUAGUUGGGAAGAGAAGCACACUGAUGGUAUGAGAGGAGGUGUGUGACCACAACCUCAGCACCUGAGGUCGCAGGGAAACCUGCUGCACACCACAGACACAGCGCUGUGUUGUAUGAGGAUUAUGAUCCCACUACAUUUUAGUUCUUUGCUUUCACGUGAAAAAAGAAAUCGCAUUUUAAACGUUUCUAUACUUGCUUCUUUGUAUGCAGCAACCACUUACUCAUACUUACGAGCAUUUAUGAAUAUAGCCACUAAGCAUCAGCGUACAGGUGAAGUUGUAAGCAGUGCUUUUGUAAUUAGACCGGCUUCCCGGUGUGCUGCAGGUAUCAGGACACGGCUGGCCGUGGUACACACACAUGUUCAGGUAAUGAGCAGGAAAAGACAUCGCUGGCUAUGGUCCGACAGCUGAAACAGCCCUAUUCAUAUGAAUUAAGCAUAUGUCAUGCAUAAAUUGGUGUCUCGAUUUUAAAAUAAAGUGAGAUGUAAGUAACAU